rnacentral:lncRNA from 1 species
CGGCCGUCACCCCUGGCCCUGCCCCACAGGCUCGAGAGCUCUCGGAACAGAGGAAAAGAAGGGCCAGAGCAAGGGCGUCUGCGCGACGCUAACAGCGCAGUCGGGGAAGGCGCGGAGCGCGCGCUCAGCCCGCCCGGUUACCUCGGCUGCCCUCGGCUGUCAGUUGGCCUCCGCCGCAGGGUCCGUGUCGCAUUCUCUGGGCGCCUCCCCUCCUCCCGGGAGCUCGCUCUCGAUCUCCCACAGGACGUCAUCCUCGUCUUCCAGAUUGCUGGAGAUGUGGCACUUCUUGAAGCCCUGGACGAUGGACUCGCUGGAGAUGCUGUUCCAGGCGACCAUGACCCACUCCAGGAAGAGGCCCAGGGGCGGCUUCUUGGCGUUGCCGGUGGGGCUCAGGGCCAGGUUCCCGGCCAGAAGCCAGUUGGAGUACUGCGCGCGGACGCUGUCGUUGAGCGGCUUGUAGACCACCACGUCCAGCACCUGCAGCUGCGAGGUGAGGCCCCCGGGGAUGAUGACCAUGUCGGUGUCCAUGCUCUCCAUGGAGCUCUUCACCGAGUCCGUGGCGUGGCCGCGGAAGCCGUUCAGGAUCAGCAUGCCGCGCUGCUUGGGCGCCGCACCCGUCCGCCGCCGCCACACCACCUCCAGCCAGUCCUGCAUCAGGUCCUCCGUCAUCCAGCCGUAGCGGUGGCAGCGGAUCUCCAUGCCGCUGGGGAACUUGCCGGGCGGGAUGUACGUGCCCCUCAGGAUGAUGUAGGGCGGCAGCUUGCGCCCGUCCGCCAGCACGCCCAACAUGGCCGUGAUCUUCAGCUUCUCCCUGCCCGGCGUCUUGACCAACACCGGCUUCUCGCCCUGGUUGUCCACGGUCACGCGCGACGGCACCUCCAGGCAGAUGGGCGUCUCGUCGGCGUUGCCCAUCUGCGCCACCUGGUAGUCGUGCGCCCGGCGCAGGGCCAGCACGCUGCGCUGGUAGGUGACCAGCUUCUCGGUCAGGUCCUCGGGCAGCUGCUGCGGCACCGGCACCUUGUGCCGCAGCGACAGGUCGUACCUGCGCAUCAUCCGGCGGCACCAGCCCAAGCUGGCCUUGAAGCCCUUCUCCGGGAUGUUCAUCUCCUGCGCGAUCUCCAGGGCCUUCAGCUGCAUGGCCUCCCUGGUGAUCGGGUCCCCUUUGGCCUGCAUGUAGCGCACGUACUCGGCCACGCGCUGGUCCACCAGGGCGAAGCGCCCGUUCUUGGGGCCGCGGAAGGCCCGGCGCAUGGCGUGCGCGUUCUGCAGCUGCGGCUUCACCUUGCGCCAGUCUCGGACGUUCUUCUCCAGCACCCCGAACUGCUUGGCGGCCUGGCAGUUGUUGGUGCUCUCGGCGUACUCCACCACCAUCAGCUUGAAGCCCGCGUCGUAGCUGCGCCGCAUGCCCCUGCUGAACUGGAACUUGCCCGCCAGGUCGUCGGCCGACAUCUCGUAGCCCGGGAAGCCCACGGCCAUGUAGAAGGGGUAGCCCUCACCCCACUCGGGCAGCUCGGCGAGCUCGCGCGGCAGGCGCAGGCCGAAGCCGUCCAGGCUGCGGCGGCGGGAACGGGGGCGCGGCGCNNNNNNNNNNNNNNNNNNNNNNNNNNNNNNNNNNNNNNNNNNNNNNNNNNNNNNNNNNNNNNNNNNNNNNNNNNNNNNNNNNNNNNNNNNNNNNNNNNNNCCCUCCCGCCGAGCUGCCGGCGCUCGUCGCGCCUCCGGACCGGCCUGCGCCGCGGGGCCCGCCGCCCUCUCGGCUCCCCCCUCCCCGGGGGCCGUCAGCUGCCGAGCGCCGCGUGCGCCCUCGGCGGGCCGGAGGCAGGAAGAGCCCGCAUUUACGCCUUAACGGGGGUGACCUGGGCGCGCGGAGCCCGGUGCCCGUGUGCAUUCACCAGUGGUUUGCAUUUGCUUGGGUGCGCACAGCCUCGAGGAACGCGGCACGAAGAGCAGACCAGCAAGGGAGCGUCGGGGGCUGGGGAGGGGUCCGCAGCUCCGGGAAGCUUGCGGCCUCCGUCCGGAACGUCGUCUGCGCGGGGAGGGAGCUUCCUGAUGGGCGUGGUGGUUACCUGGUCCAGCCCAAGCGUGGCAUCUCUGGGGGGAGUAACUGUGUGCAAGGACCUUCUCCAAAACGUUCAGAGGACGUGGACAAUGAGCAGACAAGCCCUGAAGCCCUUCUCUUUCCAAGAAAAAGAUUCUGGGUUUGGGUUUUUGUGGGGAAGUCGUCAAAGAAAAAAAAAAGAUAUUCUGGCACUUGUUAAAAUGGAAAGGAAGAUUAUUCAGAAAUAUGGAAGGAAGUAG